rnacentral:rRNA from 1 species
AUGGCCGAGGACCAUGGAUCGUCGCGGCACAUGUCGUCCAUGUCCAUGUCGCACAAGGAGCUGGGCGACGACGACGCGCGGGUGGUGCAUGUGGGCGACGCGGAGCGCACCAACGAGCGCCUCCAGUUCGCCGGGAACGCUGUGCGCACCGCCAAGUACUCGCCGCUCACCUUCCUGCCGCGGAACCUGUUCGAGCAGUUCCACCGCCUCGCCUACGUCUAUUUCCUCGUCAUCGCCGUGCUCAACCAGCUCCCCCAGCUCGCGGUCUUCGGCCGCGGGGCCUCCGUCAUGCCGCUCGCCUUCGUCCUCGCGGUGACCGCCGUCAAGGACGCGUACGAGGACUGGCGACGCCACCGCUCCGACCGCGCCGAGAAUAACCGCCUCGCCGCUGUCCUGUCCCCCGGUGCGGGCGCCCAAUUCGUCCCCACCGAGUGGAAGCACGUCCGCGUCGGCGACGUCGUGCGGGUCGGUGCCAACGAGUCGCCCCCGGCGGACAUGGUCCUCCUCGCCACCAGCGACACCACCGGCGUUGCCUACGUGCAGACGCUCAACCUUGACGGCGAGAACCGCGAGACGCUCUUCCUCUCCGGCAUCCUCAUCGUGCUCUGCUCGGCCGUGGCCACGCUCUCGGGCGUGUGGCUGCGCACCCACCAGACCGACCUGGAGCUCGCGCAGUUCUUCCACAAGAAGGACUACCUCAAGGUGGGCAAGGAGGACAACGAGAACUACAACUACUACGGCAUCGCGGCGCAGAUCGUGUUCAACUUCCUCAUGGCGGUCAUCGUGUUCCAGAUCAUGAUACCCAUCUCGCUCUACAUCUCCAUGGAGCUGGUGAGGCUCGGGCAGGCCUACUUCAUGAUCCGGGACGCCAAGCUGUACGACGCGUCGUCCGACUCGAGGUUCCAGUGCAGGGCGCUCAACAUCAACGAGGACCUGGGGCAGGUCAAGUGCGUCUUCUCCGAUAAGACCGGCACGCUGACGCAGAACAAGAUGGAGUUCCGGUGCGCGAGCAUCGACGGCGUCGAUUACAGCGACGUCGCACCGCAGCGACCUGUCGAGGGCGAGCCGGCUUGGGUGCCAAAGGUGCCGGUGAAGGUCGACAGAGAGGUGAUGGAGCUGGUGAGGAAUGGGGGUGCUACGGAGCAAGGGAUGAACGCCGGAGAGUUCUUUCUUGCCCUGGCAACGUGCAACACCAUUGUUCCUUUGAUCAUUGAUGGCCCUGACCCAAAGAAGAAGGUGAUUGACUACCAAGGCGAGUCGCCGGACGAGCAGGCGUUGGUUUCUGCCGCCGCGGCGUAUGGCUUUGUGCUCGUUGAGCGAAGCUCCGGGCACAUUGUCAUUGACGUCCUUGGUCAGAAGCAGAGGUUUGACGUCCUUGGUCUUCAUGAGUUUGACAGCGACCGCAAGAGGAUGUCAGUUAUAAUUGGCUGCCCGGACAAGACUAUCAAGCUGUUUGUAAAAGGUGCAGAUAGUUCCAUGUUUGGAAUCAUCGACAAAACACUGAAUCCAGAUGUUGUCCAGGCAACCGAGAAACAUCUCCAUUCAUAUUCGUCAGUCGGCCUCCGAACACUUGUCAUCGGUGUGCGGGAACUUAGCCAGUCAGAGUUUCAGGAGUGGCAAAUGGCUUACGAGAAGGCUAGCACUGCAUUAUUAGGCAGAGGGAAUCUCCUACGCAGUGUGGCCGCCAACAUUGAAAGGAACAUGCGCCUGUUAGGAGCCUCCGGUGUCGAAGACAAGCUGCAAGAUGGAGUGCCUGAAGCAAUUGAAAAACUAAGGGAAGCAGGGAUUAAGGUUUGGGUUCUGACAGGUGACAAACAAGAAACUGCCAUCUCCAUUGGCUAUUCCUGCAAGCUUUUGACAAGGGACAUGACACAGAUUGUAAUCAAUAGUAAUUCAAGAGAGUCGUGCAGAAAAAGUCUGGAUGAUGCAAUCUCCAUGGUUAACAAACUUCGGUCACUGUCUACAGACUCCCAAUCUAGAGUUCCCCUCGCUUUGAUCAUUGACGGAAACAGUCUCGUCUACAUUUUUGACACAGACCGGGAGGAGAAGCUUUUUGAAGUCGCGAUAGCAUGCGAUGUCGUUCUAUGUUGUCGAGUGGCUCCUCUACAGAAGGCUGGGAUUGUUGAUUUAAUAAAGAAGCGAACAAGUGACAUGACUCUAGCUAUUGGAGAUGGUGCAAAUGAUGUAUCCAUGAUCCAAAUGGCCGAUGUUGGCAUUGGCAUCAGUGGUCAAGAAGGAAGGCAAGCUGUGAUGGCCUCAGAUUUUGCCAUGGGGCAAUUUAGAUUUUUGGUCCCACUGUUGUUAGUUCAUGGCCACUGGAACUACCAGAGAAUGAGCUACAUGAUCCUAUACAAUUUUUACAGAAAUGCUACUUUUGUCUUUGUGCUUUUCUGGUAUGUACUUUACACUGGUUAUACCCUGUCAACAGCAAUAAAUGAGUGGAGCAGUGUGUUAUACUCUGUGGUCUAUACUUCUGCGCCGACUGUCAUUGUCGCCAUUCUCGACAAGGAUCUGAGUCGAAGGACAUUGCUGAAAUACCCCCAACUCUACGGUGCGGGGCAGCGCGAGGAGAGUUACAACCUAAGACUAUUCAUUUUCAUCAUGGUGGACUCCGUCUGGCAGAGCGUCGUAGUUUUCUUCAUCCCUUACCUCGCAUACAAAAACAGCGCAAUCGACAGCGCCAGCCUGGGAGACCUGUGGACACUGUCUGUUGUCAUUCUUGUCAACAUUCACCUUGCCAUGGAUGUCAUCAGAUGGACUUGGAUCACUCAUGCAGUAAUAUGGGGCAGUAUUGUGGCGACAUGGAUUUGCGUCAUCAUCAUAGACUCCAUACCCACCUUGCCCGGUUUCUGGGCAAUCUACGAGGUGAUGGGAACUGCAUUGUUCUGGGCAUUGCUUCUUGCGGUGAUUGUGGUUGGAAUGAUCCCUCAUUUUGCCGCAAAGGCCAUCAGGGAACAUUUCAUGCCCAAUGACAUCCAGAUUGCGAGAGAGAUGGAGAAGUCGCAAGAUUCUCGUGAUGCUAAUCAACCAGAAGUCCAGAUGAGUACAUCCACUCGAGCUUAG